rnacentral:rRNA from 1 species
AGAGUUUGAUCMUGGCUCAGAUUGAACGCUGGCGGCAUGCCUUACACAUGCAAGUCGAACGGCAGCACGGGAGCAAUCCUGGUGGCGAGUGGCGAACGGGUGAGUAAAGUAUCGGAACGUGCCCAGUCGUGGGGGAUAACGUAGCGAAAGCUACGCUAAUACCGCAUACGAUCUAUGGAUGAAAGCGGGGGAUCGCAAGACCUCGCGCGAUUGGAGCGGCCGAUAUCAGAUUAGGUAGUUGGUGGGGUAAAGGCCCACCAAGCCGACGAUCUGUAGCUGGUCUGAGAGGACGACCAGCCACACUGGGACUGAGACACGGCCCAGACUCCUACGGGAGGCAGCAGUGGGGAAUUUUGGACAAUGGGCGCAAGCCUGAUCCAGCAAUGCCGCGUGCAGGAUGAAGGCCUUCGGGUUGUAAACUGCUUUUGUACGGAGCGAAAAGGCUCUCUCUAAUACAGGGGGCUCAUGACGGUACCGUAAGAAUAAGCACCGGCUAACUACGUGCCAGCMGCCGCGGUAAUA